UGGGGAAUAUUGCGCAAUGGGGGAAACCCUGACGCAGCGACGCCGCGUGCGGGAUGAAGGCCUUCGGGUUGUAAACCGCUUUUGAUUGGGAGCAAGCUUUCGGGUGAGUGUACCUUUCGAAUAAGCGCCGGCUAACUACGUGCCAGCAGCCGCGGUAAUACGUAGGACGCAAGCGUUAUCCGGAAUUAUUGGGCGUAAAGGGUUCGCAGGCGGAAAUGCAAGUCAGGUGUAAAAGGCAGUAGCUUAACUACUGUAAGCAUUUGAAACUGCAUAUCUUGAGAAGAGUAGAGGUAAGUGGAAUUUUUAGUGUAGCGGUGAAAUGCGUAGAUAUUAAAAAGAAUACCGGUGGCGAAGGCGACUUACUGGGCUCAUUCUGACGCUGAGGAACGAAAGCGUGGGUAGCAAACAGG
rnacentral:rRNA from 1 species